rnacentral:lncRNA from 1 species
GUUUUUUAGUACUGUACAUAAUGUUUUAUUAAUUUGUCCUUUUUGGCUGCUGCCAAGACAGCAUAUAUGGAACUGAUUUUUGAACCUCAAGAAACUGACAUUUUGAAUUCUGCUUUGUAUCAUAAGCCUCAAAUGCAAGAAGCUGUGAUUAGAAUGUGAUAAUAGCCGAGGUGCCAUAAUUCUCUGCUGUUGUAUGAGGUUUGUGCAGCUAAAAUAUCUGACUCCUAAAAUGGAGUUUCCUGAAAUUAUUCCUUACUCAUAGUGUAAUGAGGUGAACUAGUUUGCAAUUUUUCCG